rnacentral:lncRNA from 1 species
GGGUGUUAAUCUGUUCUUUGGAUUGUACUCCCAGACAAGACCGGUGCCAUUUCCACUGUCCGUGUGGUAAACUCUUCCUGAGAGAGUUCCCUUUCGACUCACGACCACGGUCUGCCGUUUUGUUCGGACAACAAACCAGAAAGUUUCUGAGGAAAGGACUUCUGCAGAGUCCCCUAACGUCCAAAAAGUGAAGAGAGAGCAAGUUCCAAAAGAGACAUGUUUUGUCUGCAAUGUAAUCAUCUCUAAGAAAAACAUUUAAAGACAUGCAGAGACACACAAUGCACGUGUUGAAGUGAAAAACAAGUCAUGCCAACGUGGACUAUGCAUUGAUAAACACCCUGGUCUCUACAUGAUCAGCAAGUCUAGCAUCGGUCUAGAUUACCCACUUCACGUACAAAUGAACGUUUUCACACAGCAAAUACAUUGUGAACAUGUAAAUUGCAACUUAGCUUUGCGUGUUGCAGCAAGGGUAAUGUAGGUAUUUAUCAGUGCCCCCAUUUGCAAUCAGUUAUGUUUGCAAGUGAAUACCCGAAAGAAGUACACCUCCAGUCAGAACAUGAAAAUCUUUGUCAACAGAAGGUAGUACACUCUGCUAACAUGCAGGUUGCCCUGAAGCUUGUAGACACUGGAGAACAAAGACAAAUACCUGUCGUCGUUUAAUGGGAGCAGAAGCACUCUGUAAACAGCGUUUAUUUCUCUGUGUAUGGUGGAACGAAGGAAUACUGGGCUAAACUCGGUCGCGCUGUAGUGACAUUCAACAAGGACAAAGGACAGCUGAAUUGUGUUUGCAGCAAAACCACCAUAUCUUGCGUACACAAGACUCUUGGCAAAUAGUAUCUGGCCCUGGAACACCAAGAGUUGCUGCACAUUAACUCCAUGGGAAACAAUUAUAUUUGUAUUGAGAAUAAAGGGGUAUGUUGGACAUCAUCCUAGCGAGGAACCAACAACAUCGGUCACCAUUGAAAACCAAACCUUACAAGAUUCCGGAGGCAGCUUCUGUAAGACAUACCCACUAUCUGGACAAGGUGCACGUUUGAUGGCAAAUUAUCUAACGCCCGGGAAGAAAUUACCACCAGUUUUUAAAGUUCCGGAAAAUGCCCAAUUAGGACAUGAAGGAAACUUGUCACCUGUCGAAACACAUUGUGUAAUGUGUGCAAAUGGAGGAGAACUUGACCAGUAUCUGGUUGCCAGAAAGGGGAAUAAAAAUAAAGGUCAUGUGUAUACAGCACAAAUGUGUCGAAAAGGCGAAAGUGACAGGAAAAGCCAUACUUGGAAAAAAAGAUAAUUGAAGAAGAUGACCCCUGGCUGUACCGACAUCCAACGACUGGUGCAGAGGAUGUACCUGAAGAGUUCAAGAGACCUGUGCUGUAUUUCCAACGACUGAUGCAGAGGAUGUACCUGAAGAGUUCAAGAGACAUGUGCUGUAUUUCCAACGACUGAUGCAGAGGAUGUACCUGAAGAGUUCAAGAGACAUGUGCUGUAUUUCCAACGACUGAUGCAGAGGAUGUACCUGAAGAGUUCAAGAGACAUGUGCUGUAUUUCCAACGACUGAUGCAGAGGAUUUACCUGAAUAGUUCAAGAGACCUGUGCUGUAUUUCUAACGACUGAUGCAGAGGAUGUACCUGAAAAGUUCAAGAGACAUGUGCCGUAUUUCUAACGACUGGUGCAGAGGAUGUACCUGAAGAGUUCAAGAGACAUGUGCUGUAUUUCUAACGACUGGUGCAGAGGAUGUACCUGAAGAGUUCAAGAGACAUGUGCCGUAUUUCCAACGACUGGUGCAGAGGAUGUACCUGAAGAGUUCAAGAGACAUGUGCCGUAUUUCCAACGACUGAUGCAGAGGAUGUACCUGAAGAGUUCAAGAGACAUGUGCUGUAUUUCCAACGACUGAUGCAGAGGAUGUACCUGAAGAGUUCAAGAGACAUGUGCUGUAUUUCCAACGACUGGUGCAGAGGAUGUACCUGAAGAGUUCAAGAGACAUGUGCCGUAUUUCCAACGACUGAUGCAGAGGAUGUACCUGAAUAGUUCAAGAGACCUGUGCUGUAUUUCUAACGACUGAUGCAGAGGAUGUACCUGAAGAGUUCAAGAGACAUGUGCCGUAUUUCUAACGACUGGUGCAGAGGAUGUACCUGAAGAGUUCAAGAGACCUGUGCUGUAUUUUUAACGACUGGUGCAGAGGAUGUACCUGAAGAGUUCAAGAGACAUGUGCUGUAUUUCCAACGACUGAUGCAGAGGAUGUACCUGAAGAGUUCAAGAGACAUGUGCUGUAUUUCCAACGACUGAUGCAGAGGAUGUACCUGAAGAGUUCAAGAGACAUGUGCUGUAUUUCCAACGACUGAUGCAGAGGAUGUACCUGAAGAGUUCAAGAGACAUGUGCCGUAUUUCUAACGACUGAUGCAGAGGAUGUACCUGAAGAGUUCAAGAGACAUGUGCUGUAUUUCCAACGACUGAUGCAGAGGAUGUACCUGAAGAGUUCAAGAGACAUGUGCCGUAUUUCUAACGACUGAUGCAGAGGAUGUACCUGAAGAGUUCAAGAGACAUGUGCCGUAUUUCCAACGACUGAUGCAGAGGAUGUACCUGAAGAGUUCAAGAGACAUGUGCUGUAUUUCCAACGACUGAUGCAGAGGAUGUACCUGAAGAGUUCAAGAGACAUGUGCUGUAUUUCCAACGACUGAUGCAGAGGAUGUACCUAAAUAGUUCAAGAGACAUGUGCUGUAUUUCUAACGACUGAUGCAGAGGAUGUACCUGAAGAGUUCAAGAGACAUGUGCCGUAUUUCUAACGACUGGUGCAGAGGAUGUACCUGAAGAGUUCAAGAGACCUGUGCUGUAUUUCUAACGACUGAUGCAGAGGAUGUACCUGAAGAGUUCAAGAGACAUGUGCCGUAUUUCCAACGACUGAUGCAGAGGAUGUACCUGAAGAGUUCAAGAGACAUGUGCUGUAUUUCCAACGACUGAUGCAGAGGAUGUACCUAAAGAGUUCAAGAGACAUGUGCCGUAUUUCUAACGACUGGUGCA